CGUGAGGGAAAGGUGAAAAGAACCCCGGGAGGGGAGUGAAAUAGAACCUGAAACCGUGUGCCUACAACCGCUCAGAGCCCCUUAUGAGGGUGAUGAGGUGCUUUUUGUAGAACGAGCCAACGAGUUACGGUAUGUAGCAAGGUUAAGUACUUAAGGUACGGAGCCGAAGGGAAACCGAGUCUGAAUAGGGCGACUAGUUGCAUGCCGUAGACCCGAAACCGGGUGACCUAUCCAUGGCCAGGUUGAAGCGAGGGUAAAACCUCGUGGAGGACCGAACCACGUUGCUGUUGAAAAAGCAUGGGAUGAGCUGUGGAUAGCGGAGAAAUUCCAAUCGAACCCGGAGAUAGCUGGUUCUCUCCGAAAUAGCUUUAGGGCUAGCGUCGAGUAUGAGUAGUGGAGGUAGAGCACUGAAUGGGCUAGGGGGCAUAGCGCUUACCGAACCUUAUCAAACUCCGAAUGCCACAUACUUUGAGCUCGGCAGUCAGACUACGAAUGAUAAGAUCCGUGGUCAAAAGGGAAACAGCCCAGAUCGUCAGCUAAGGUCCCAAAGUGUAAGUUAAGUGGGAAAGGAUGUGAGAUUUCUAAGACAACUAGGAUGUUGGCUUAGAAGCAGCCAUUCAUUAAAAGAGUGCGUAAUAGCUCACUAGUCGAGAGAUCUUGCGCCGAAAAUGUAACGGGGCUAAACUUACCACCGAAGCUACGGGCUUGAACUUAGUUCAAGCGGUAGGAGAGCGUCGUAACCGGGCUGAAGUCGUACCGUAAGGAGCGGUGGACUGGUUACGAGUGAGAAUGUUGGCAUCAGUAGCGAGAUGUGGGUGAGAAUCCCACAGGCCGAAAACCUAAGGUUUCCUCAGGAAGGUUCGUCCGCUGAGGGUUAGUCGGGACCUAAGCCGAGGCCGAAAGGCGUAGGUGAUGGACAACUGGUUGAUAUUCCAGUACCACUACCAUCGUUAUUAUCGAUGGCGUGACGCAGGAGGAUAGUGUGUGCUAGCUAUUGGAUGCUAGUCUAAGCGUUUAGGCAGUGAGAGUAGGCAAAUCCGCUCUCAUAAUGCUGAGGCGUGAUGGGGAAGGUUCUACGGAACCGAAGUACAUGAUUCCACGCUGCCAAGAAAAGCGUCUAGAGAGAGAAGUAGUGCCCGUACCGCAAACCGACACAGGUAGGUGAGGAGAGAAUCCUAAGGCCGGCGGAAGAAUUACAGUUAAGGAACUCGGCAAAUUGACCCCGUAAGUUCGCGAGAAGGGGUGCCUACGAGAGUAGGCCGCAGAGAAUAGGCCCAAGCAACUGUUUAGCAAAAACACAGGUCUCUGCUAAAGCGUAAGCUGAUGUAUAGGGGCUGACGCCUGCCCGGUGCUGGAAGGUUAAGGGGAACACUUAGCGCAAGCGAAGGUGUGAACUUAAGCCCCAGUAAACGGCGGCCGUAACUAUAACGGUCCUAAGGUAGCGAAAUUCCUUGUCAGGUAAGUUCUGACCCGCACGAAUGGCGUAAUGACUUGGGCACUGUCUCAACUGUAAAUCCGGCGAAGUUGUAGUGCGAGUGAAGAUGCUCGCUACCCGCGAUUGGACGGAAAGACCCCGUAGAGCUUUACUGUAGCUUAGCAUUGAGUUUUGGUAUUGUCUGUACAGGAUAGGUGGGAGACUAGGAAACCAGGGCGUCAGCCUUGGUGGAGUCAACCUUGGGAUACCACCCUGACAGUACUGAAAUUCUAACUGGCGGCCAUGAAUCUGGUCACAGGACAUUGUUAGGUGGGCAGUUUGACUGGGGCGGUCGCCUCCUAAAAAGUAACGGAGGCGCCCAAAGGUUCCCUCAGAACGGUCGGAAAUCGUUCGAAGAGUGCAAAGGCAGAAGGGAGCCUGACUGCGACACCCACAAGUGGAGCAGGGACGAAAGUCGGGCUUAGUGAUCCGGUGGUACCUCGUGGGAGGGCCAUCGCUCAACGGAUAAAAGCUACCUCGGGGAUAACAGGCUGAUCUCCCCCAAGAGUCCACAUCGACGGGGAGGUUUGGCACCUCGAUGUCGGCUCGUCGCAUCCUGGGGCUGAAGUAGGUCCCAAGGGUUGGGCUGUUCGCCCAUUAAAGCGGCACGCGAGCUGGGUUCAGAACGUCGUGAGACAGUUCGGUCCCUAUCCGUCGCGGGCGUAGGAAAUUUGAGAGGAGCUGUCCUUAGUACGAGAGGACCGGGAUGGACUGACCUCUGGUGUACCAGUUGUUCCGCCAGGAGCACAGCUGGGUAGCUAAGUCGGGAAUGGAUAAACGCUGAAAGCAUCUAAGCGUGAAGCCAACCUCAAGAUGAGAUUUCCCAUAGCGUAAGCUAGUAAGAUCCCUUGA
rnacentral:rRNA from 1 species